UUGAAUCAGAAGGUCAAUAUGUCUUCUGUAACCUUGUUCAGCUGCGCAUGUGCAAUGAUACUCUUUGCAUCAGUAGUCACCUCAUCGCCCACGCUACCGGAAGUAGGACUCAAAGACAUUGGAUCGGAGCACGCAUGUCUGUUUAUGUGUGAAAUGUGCUUCACCGGAUUUCCUAAACCAAUGAUGUACUGCGCUAACGAGGUAUGCGCUGCUGGAACCUGCAACGCCCCUGGAAUGGUAUGGGUGGGACGCGCCUGCAAGAACCCUGCACUCCUGGACAAAUUCCUGGCCAAGUAGAAUCCGAGUUCCUCAAAGCGACAUCAGUUUUUGUUAUCAUAUUCACAUUCAGACAGUGCACUAGACACUAGAUGUAGACAUAUUAAAGUAGCACGUUUGUUACUCAUACUGGCAAUUCAAACUAUUUUCAACAUGAAACCAUCCUCGGGGAUGCAGGUAACAAUAUCUGUGUUCCGGUUAAUACCUUUGAUCCACUCGCCAGGAAUGGAACCGCUUCUCUGGAGACCUCCUACAACGGAGCAUGAAAAACGUUAUGGCGUAAAUAUCCUUCUGUAGAGAUGUUACUCUCAGAGUGUCAAAGGUCUGCGACAGACAAUGGAGAUGGAUGGGCGGGAAUUCAAGAAAACAGCAGUGUAAACAAGACAGUUCUGAAUAUCGGCGGAUCAAUAACUUAAAAUGGAAAUGAUAGAAUAUUAGCAGCUUCACUUCGGUAAUGCUCUUAUGGAAACAAAAUACAUACUAGAUUUUAAAGAAAAAGGGUUGAGCACAAGAAUCCAUGUAAAUUUGGCCAUGCAAUAAAUUUGUUAAAUAUU